GUAACAAUACAAAGACUCUUUGCUUUUGCAUCAGAUUCGGUUUCUUGGUGGUCCUUGGGGGACUCUGGGUACAACAAAUUCUAGAACAGGGGUGUUUCCAGUCUUUUGAAAAGCUGUUUUGAAUCAUGGUCUUCUAUGUUCAUUGAGGUGGACUCAAACCCCGUCUAUAGCCCCACAGGGCAUUGCCCUUGUUAUCCUCCUGACUAACCACCCUAGAUCUUGGUUUACCCUUCUGCAGCACCACAGAGUUCUAAAUUUACAAGUUUGAGUCACAUAGUGGACUGUCCAUUGCAGAACAGGGAGAGGAUUUGUGUGUGGAGCAUGGCUUCUCUCUUCAGACCAGAAGAGGAGGAGCAGUGUACUGUGUACACUGCAGAGAAAUCACACUAGACAACAGCUAGAUCAUGACUGAAGUGGAAGGCAGUGAGCGUGAGCUGCGGGGUCUCCAUUACAAAGAAGGACUGAUGGGGUAGGGGACUAUUGGAAUGUGACCUGUGUUUGGUUGCAGGACCUCCCAGCUAUGAAGUAAAGAGUUGGCUGUACUGGACAUUGAGUGUGUAAUGGAAUGUGCACACAUAGAAUCCUGUGCCUUGGGAGAGGAACAGUAAGUGCUCUGAGAGAAUGUAAGAUUUUACUACAGUACAGAUUUCCCAGAUAAGGGUCCUGUCUUACUUUAGUGUGGAAGGGCAGAGCUGAGACAGCCUGGGCUGUCUGAGUUAUUUACCUCUGCUUACCCAGUUGGGUAACUACUAAUGUCCUGAAGCCCAGCUGGGUGGCGCUAGCUAAUGAGGGACUCUGGGAAGGCUUAGCCACCAGGAGCACCAGCAGGAGGUAGGUUACAGGUUCUUUCCAGGAUUCUCCUCUUGUUCUGCUGUAGGGAGCUGUAAGGAAGACCACAAGCCAUGCCAUGGUGAAUGUGGGGUCCACUAUCUCCAGACCAGAAAGAGUAGAUUGGCUGAGCUGUCAGAGCUGCUUGGACUGGGAUUGAUCAUGAACCAGACUGAGGUUCUGUUGGUUCCUGUGGUGACCUGAGCAGUAGUCUUUGGAAUAUAUAUAUGAUUUAUUAAAUUACCUCUGUAUGUAUAUAUACACACACACACAGAGGGAGAGAGAGAGAGAUGAAGAGACAUUCAUUGGAUAAGUUCCGCUAUUCUAGAGAAGCUUGACUAAUACAGAUUUAGAUACCAGAAGUGGUUCUAGAGUAACUGAAGUAUGAAAAUGAAUUUUUUAUGUAUCUUGCAUAAGCUAUUCAAUUUGCCAACACCUACAGAAGUGAAGCAGCCUCUCUGGUUCCUGAGUCCUCUCCUGGCAGCUAAAAGUGUGCUAAAAUCCCCAAAAUGUAAACUACUUUACAAAUUUAAUAAAUGCAUUUGAUUAUUCUGAUUCACCAGUUGGGGGCAGCAACGGACUCAGUCACUAACUAUAUAUAAAACUUCUGACAGUUUGUGGGGGAAUGAGGAAAAUUAUGAUGUUGGUUGGUUGCUCUUAGCAUCUCUGGAUAAUUGACAAAGGAUAGGAAUGAGCUCCUUGAUAAAAUGAACCAGCUUCUAGCAUCUCAGAACAUAGUGAAGGACAACAAUGAACUUGGUGAUAAAAUUGACCAGCUCCAGAUGCACAUAAACAGACCAAAGGUUUCUAAGUGUACCCAGGAAGAAAAUCUUCUCUCCAGCAGUCACGGAGGUCAAGUUGCAGAAAAAUAAACCUGCAGUGAUGACAUUAUGCUGAUUAAAGCAAGUGAGCUGGAGGUGCGACCACUUUUGACUCAUUGAGAACCCACAAGUUCAUCAUAGGAUAGCAAAUAAAUCCAACCAAAAUUCAAGGUCCGUCUACCACAGUGAAAACUCUGGGAGGUUUGGGAUUAAGUACUGGGAGACCAUGCCUGAGUAAAGAAACGUCUUAAGAGAGAAGAGCAAGAAAUUUCCUUUUUAUUCAUAAAAAUAUGCAUUUUAAUCAACAUGGGCUUAAAAUGGCAGUCAUUAUAUACAGUGUACAGCCUUACCAAAAUAUCAAAUCAAUGACAAGAACAAAAGAAAUAACAACAAAACCCCAAACCAAAUUGAACCAAAAAUCCAAGGAGAAACCAGACAAAAAAAUUAAGCUGAGCAGUACUGUCUUGCUGCAGAUUUAGUGGCACUGAUGUACAUGUGGCUGGCCUUAGAUACUGGGUAGGAAGGCAGUCAUGGAUUGUAAUAGACUUUUCAAGGCUGAGUGUAAGCCCAGCUCUUUGGGGCUUUGUAGUUCAAGUCCUCACCAAGGUCACAUAUCACAGGCUUUUGUUCACUCUUUUGAAUUCACUUGACACACGUGUACUAAAGUAUCCUUGAUGACCCAUCAUGACAAGCAGUAAUUUACACUAUCAGACUCCUCCUGCAUGCCCAGCAGCUCCAGAUAGGCUUGAGCACUUCUCUGAAGCCCUCCCUGCUGCAACUUGUGCAAGAGUGAAAUUGCAAUCUCUGUGUGGAAAUGUACCUCCCAGGUCUCCCUUGGCCAUGGCAUUUCCUCUGCUCAAACCUUCCCACUCUUAAGGAGAUAAAUGUCUGAAAGUUCAUCUUCUUGAUGUGGAGCAUCUUCCGGUCCAAAGACAUGAAAGGUGACCUUGACAUCAGGACUGGUCACCUCAAUUUAGGCUGUGAAACUAGAACAUUUCCAGACAUUUUUCUUAUAGAGGAACAAAUGACCAGCAGGAGGAGAGAGGGACUCCUGCCACCUCUGCAGAGCAUUAUCUUCAGCAACAUUUGUGUGUGGCACGGAGACAGCUUCAGUGCUGAACUGGAGAGAGAAUCCUGUGCUCUGGGGAUGGCUGAUAUUUGUCUCACUGCUGAAUUCUCAGCUAUAAGCUGGUGUCCUUUUUGAGGAGGCCUUGAUCCCAGACUGGAGAAUGUCAUGUAUUCAAGGUGGCUAUGGCUUCCUUCAGCCUCCUCAGUUCUCUGAAGGGGUGCUAUUAAAAAAGGAAAGGCAAUCAGACCCAGAUGCAGCCUUGCUGGGCCACUGACUAGACAAAAUUGGGGCCUAUUCUCCUAAAGCAUAUCAAUGUCAAGGAAAAAACCCACUCCAUGAAUUCCAUGGCUGCUGAGGAGAGGGUUCAACAGUGGCUCACUUGCCUGGCACACUCAGUGCUCUGCUGCAGCAGCCCUGUCUGCAGGAGGCUCUCAUCCUGGACUGUGGCCUGGUCUAGCUCAUGCUGGACUUUUUCAAAUCUAAAGGAAGGCAGCUGGGACACAGGAAGGUCAGCUCUGCAGCCUCCCCCAGCUAAUCUACUGUGACAUCUCAGCACAGGUCAUUUCCUGCAUCUCCAAGGGGGAAAGGUCAGAGAGUAUCUGGGCCUGGAUUUUCUCUCAUCUUUUAAAACUGCUAGAAGUUGAACUUAGAUAAACACAUUGUGCUGAAAUAGAAAAAAAAGAACACAUUGUCCAGAUACAUUAUUUUGGAAAAAUAGCAGCAUAGCAAUGUCUGAGAGACAGUACAGGAGAGAUGCACAGCUUGAUUUGGUACCAGGUGAAUGUGAGCAGCCUGGGAAACUAUAUGGAGGCCUUCUAGAGGAGCCUACAGAACACUGCCCUCUAGAGGAGCCUACACAACACUGCAGUGAAGGUUGUGAUUAUUCCUAUAGCACAGAACCCUACAUGGGAUCAACCCCCUAACCCCUAAAUCUGCUUAUAACCAGAGAAACCUUUUCACAGGAAACCAAUGCAAACUGCAGAGAGCCUGAAAUCAGGAGUGUUCUAUGUACAAAUCUGCCCAAGAGUAGGAAAUUGUCUCAAGAUGAUUUCUGGAAGAAAAACAAAGUGUCAGGAGGAUGCACUGUCUUCCGCAAUUAACCCUCAUCCUCCUAGGUUGGGGCAUGCCCUAAGGAGAUUUGUGGGGACACUUAAGGGACAAGGUAUUCAGAGCAUGCCAAGAGAGCUCAGAAUGGAGGAAAGGGUACACAAUCCCCCCAGAACACUAAAGAUCAAACAUUGAUUCUUGGAGAGAAAUUCUUGUUGACUGAACCAGCACAAUACUCUGAGGGUUUCUUUCCCUUGCUGUGGCUGAGAACUAUGCAGAUGGGGAGAAUUCCAACAAGAACAGAGAUCCAGGUACAGGGGGCCUACACAGCUCUAACCCCUACUCCCAGCUUGGGCCCCUACUUCAUCUCACAACCAUCCAAGUGACGCCCUGGCUUUUCUGCUAAGUUGCUUUCCUGGGUAAAGCUCCUUCUGCUUCUGCAGGUCCUGAAACUUUUCAAGGAGCCUUUCAGGCUCCCGCUCAUUCAAAGAUUCUGUUCUUAGCAGACGUUUGCACAUCCACAUGCAUACACACAGUCUCCUGAACAUGCACAAGUACAUGUAUGGACACAUACAAACAUACUACAUUGCAGCCACAUGUUUAGUUUCCCAGUUAAUGCCAACAUGAGAAGAGAUUACCUGGGGUACUAUGGAGAAGAAAGUGAGCUUUUGUUGAAGAAGAAUGCAGUGGGCAGGGGCAAUGGACAGCCCAGUCAAUGAAGUGCCUGCCCUAUAAACCUGAUGUACAGACAGGAGGAGCUCUGGAGUCCUGGGCCUGUUAGCCAGGCUUGCAUAGCAAGUCCCCAAGCCAGCACAGGACCACUGAAUGGUGGUCCACCAUCAUCUCCUUACUCUCACUCACUGUUUUCUAGUUGCUCAAAGUCAAGAAGCUUUCUCCAAAAGUUGUUCCUUUUAUCAUAGUCAGCCUUACUUUGGGUCCAAAGCAAUGAGCUCAGAUAACUAGAAAAAUCUCUACAACCAGGAGCUAAAACAAACCAGUACUCUGUAAGGUGAUUGGGUCAGGGAUUUGUUUGAGUAACACAAGGCUAACCCAAGGCCAAAUGAUUGUUUUUAUUACUUCAUGCUGAACAAUACUCCAUGGAAGGGCUCAAGCACAUUGUACGUUUUCACCCUUAGGCUGAUUGAUAGCCAUCUGGAUAGUAUCUAUUUUGGUGCUGCUAUGAGGGAGGCUGAUAAAACCCGGAUGUCCCCUAAUUUCUCUGUGGACACCUCUUUCUCAUCCUAGAAUAACAGUGUCACCUAGUAAGUGCAGUUUGACUUUCAAAGACUUGUACUGCCUUUUACACAGAGCGAUACAGUUUCACACCACCAGCCAUGUCUGAGGGUUCUCAUUUCUCCCAACCCUCCACGAGGCUGACUUUAAUUCAGUUCCUGAGUGCUGCAAACAGCACAGGGUUAGUGCUUUAGAAUAACACGAGCUAAGUGGGCCACACUGAGACGCUGCUGUUCUCACGCUAAUCAUGGCUAUGGGACUCCUGCCGGACUGAGAAGCAGCUGCAAGCACACUGCAACUCAGAAUUUCUCAAGGAAUAAAAUCCAGGUCCAGCUCCCAGGCCAAGUUAACCGAGCCAAAGUUGGGCAAAGGGUAGAAAGAAAAUGGUGGCCGGAAGUGAGGGUAAGAACAAAACAUGGUGCAGAGAGAACACUUGGAACCACCUGACUGUCAAGCGUGUAGCUACCAUUCCUCCAGAGCAGAGAAGGGACACACACCCUCAGCCAGCCUUUCCUACUUCUCAGGCACCUUCAUCUGCCACAGUGUCCUCCUCCACGCCUUCAUGUACCCCAUUCUUUUGGUUUUCUCCAAAGGAUAUAUUUCCAGGUAAAUAUCUUUGCCUCUACAAACACCAGAAAACAUUUGUGUUUACAGCAGUUUUUGUGUCCUUUUGUUUUAGGGAGCUACAUGCCGAAAUUUGGGUGGCCGCAUGUGAUUAUUUGAUGGAUGCAAAGUCUUAAUAUCCAGAACAGGACAGACAGUACUUUCUUAUGAAAAUUGGUCUCCAUCAUUGUUAAAGAUGUUCCAUGAGCAAGUGAACAUAGAUGUAUGCAGAAACAUACACACUAGUGUCAUGUUCAAUGCCAAAACACACACUCACACAUAGAUUAUAAAUAUACACAAAUACCCACAAAGGCACAUAUCCCUACACCUACAGGCAACAUGGGCACAAACAUGCUCACCCAUACCUGGGAACAUACACACACACUGAGGGACAAUACCAUGUACACAAAGGCCUGUAUAUAUUUAAAGUCACACACACGCACAAAUAUUCAAAUACAUGCAGACACACAAACACAAGCACAUAAAGAGGCUUACACAGACACUCCCACACC